UACAUUAUACAAGUAUUACUCUAUAACUGUGUAUUACAUUAUACUAGUAUUACUUUGUAAUAGUGUAUUACAUUAUAUGAGUAUUACCCUGUAAUAUAUAUUACAUUAUAUGUGUAUCACUCUGCAAUGAUGUAUUUUGUUAUACGAGUAUUAUAACUCCAGUAUACAUGUUUGUUAAAUCAUUUGAGUACUUUGUACCUAUAUAUUACGUUAAAUGAGUAUUACUCCUGUAUACUUGUGUAUUACAUUAUACAAGUGUGCCCUUGUUUGUUAUAUUAUGGGUAAUUCUUAGUACAUACAUAUUAUGCUAUGCUUGUAUUACUCUUUAGUGAUAUGGCUGUUUGUUUACAUCUGGGUUAGUGACCUUCCUGUAGGUUGUGUAACUUUCAAACGGACAGUGUUCCUGGAAUUACUGACAGCGUUCAUGGAAAUACUGACAGUGUUCAUGGAAAUACUGACAGUGUUCAUGGAAAUACUGGCAGUGUUCAUGGAACUGCUGGCUGUGUUCAUGGAAAUGCUGGUAUGUUCCUGGAAUUACUGACAGUGUUCCUGGAAUUACUGACAGCGUUCAUGGAAAUACUGACAGUGUUCAUGGAAAUACUGGCAGUGUUCAUGGAACUGCUGGCUGUGUUCAUGGAAAUGCUGGUAUGUUCAUGGAAUUUCUGGCAGUGUUCAUGGAAUUACUGACAGUGUUCAUGGAAAUACUGGAUGUGUACAUGGAAAUACUGGUACUACUUCAAGUGUAGUUCGUUUGGUAGGAGCUUUACAUUCCAGACCUUAAUGAUUUAAAUUGAAACUCAUUUUUUACCUAUAAUUAUUUCAGUUGUGAACCUUUUUUUACAUAUGAUGAUAAAAGUAUUUCUUUAAUAUUAUGUUGUACAAGUUGGUCUCCCUACAAAACUUUCUUAAGAAGUGUGGCCUCAUCAAAGCAAUCCUUAUAUUAUUGAAUAUUAAUCUCACUUAAAUCCAACUUUAGAUUCAAACUGUACCUUAUUCUUCAAGGUUUAGAAAUUGUCUCCCCUUUUUCAGAUUCUGCAAUGACCUUAUUCUUCAAGGUUUAGAAAUUGUCUCCCCUUUUUCAGACUCUGCAAUGACCUUAUUCUUCCAGGUUUAGAAUUUGUCUCCCCUUUUUCAGACUCUGCAAUGACCUCAUUCUUCCAGGUUUAGAAAUUGUCUCCCCUUUUUCAGACUCUGCAAUGACCUUAUUCUUCCAGGUUUAGAAAUUGUCUCCCCUUUUUCAGAUUCUGCAAUGACCUUAUUCUUCCAGGUUAAGUAAUUGACUCCCCUUUUUCAGACUCUGCGAUGACCUCAAUCUUCCAGGUUAAGUAAUUGACUCCCCUUUUUCAGACUCUGCGAUGUGUGUGGUAAAAAGGUUGUUUUCUUUUUAGAGCGAUCCACCUGUAGAACAGGAGGUCAUACAUUAUGUCUGAUUGAAAUGAUUGUUUUACUUCAUUUUUGUUCCUCGUGUUAAUUGAUAAGCUGGAUCUUCUGUUGAUCCUCGGCUUAUGUUUACGAUGUUUUUUUGAUAUGCUUUGUUGGCCAGUAUUGAUGAGUUUUUUUGUUUUUUUUUGUAUUUAUUGCGUAUAUAUUACGUGUAUUGAUGGACACAUUUACAUACUAUUAUUAUGCUAUGUUUAUGUUAUAAAUCUGUACUGCAUUUUAUUCCCAUUAUUAUACAUCUCGACAAGCCUGAGUUCCAUUCAUCUGCUGUGUGUAGAUAUUUAUAUAUAAACCUUAAUGCAUAAUGUAAACGUUGUAAUUAGCUUACAAGCAGGUAUACCUAUGUAUAGUCUGGAGGCUAGGAUUUCAAGUUCUAGGGGAUUUUUUGUCUCACUUUUUCAACUCGUUAAGACGUAGUUGUCUCCCUUUGUCUACUCUCAUCAGAUCACAUCAAUAUGAAAUGAGACAAUGUUGAUUUAAAUGUUAAAAAAUAUUUCAGAGUUAUUUUCUUAAAUUAUAUAAAUUAUAUUUCCCUUGAGAUUUUUUUUAUUCUUCCUUUCUUCGUUUUCUAUUGAUAGAAUCUUCCUACCCUAGAUCUUCAUCCUAUUUCCUUGUAACCAUGCAAAGCGACUUUCUUGUCGGGGUCUGUUUUAUGUAUCAUUGUCAUCAUGCGACCAUAUACCUAGAUGUUCUUCCUCAUCACUCCGGACAACGCUUAUCUCACCACCAUUUUGUGUUGUCAUGGCAAUGUCUGGUUAUACAAAAGCUUCCUGUUUUGUGACUUGUAUUAUCACAUGAAUACCGUGGAGAGAAUCAGGACGUGGAAUAAAAUCAGUUACCCAUAUCUA